rnacentral:misc_RNA from 1 species
CCAAUAGCGUAUAUUAAAGUUGUUGCAGUUAAAAAGCUCGUAGUUGAAUUUCGGGAUCAAUAUGUUGGUCGUGCCUUGGUACGUACUGGCGUCAUUGAUUUCUACCUUCUGAAGAACCUCGAUGUCAUUAAUUUGGUGUCUUGGGGAAUCAGGACUGUUACUUUGAAAAAAUUAGAGUGUUUAAAGCAAGCUCACGCUUGAAUACAUUAGCAUGGAAUAAUGAAAUAGGACGUUUGAUUCUAUUUUGUUGGUUUCUAGGAUCGACGUAAUGAUUAAUAGGGAUAGUUGGGGGCAUUAGUAUUCAAUUGUCAGAGGUGAAAUUCUUGGAUUUAUUGAAGACUAACUACUGCGAAAGCAUUUGCCAAGGAUGUUUUCAUUAAUCAAGAACGAAAGUUAGGGGAUCGAAGACGAUCAGAUACCGUCGUAGUCUUAACCAUAAACUAUGCCGACUAGGGAUCGGAUGAUGUUAAUUUUUUAAUGACUCAUUCGGCGCCUUACG